GCCGAAGUGGCGGAACUGGUAGACGCGCUGGACUCAAAAUCCAGUGGUGGCAACAUCGUGAGAGUUCGAGUCUCUCCUUCGGCA
rnacentral:tRNA from 1 species